rnacentral:misc_RNA from 1 species
AGGAAAAAUUCGUCAGAUAGCCACGCCCCUUUCCUCUUUGUGGCUUUGCGGCUGCAAUGCGGACCUCGAAAGCGGUCCCCGUGUCCCGAACAUAUCCUCCGACUUCGGUCGUGGCUGUCUCGGUCCACGGGACAACUGCUCGCGCUCUCGGAUGUGGAAAAUUAAGCGGACGUGGGGGGGUCUUGGCCUCCGGUUGCUCCACAAUCAAGUCCCGCGAUAAGAAUGACUUUCGCUACCUCAUUGACCGCAGGCCGUCCAGGCCCGUGGCAUCAAUGCGGGUCCGUAGUCGAGAACGAAUGCUACCUGGUUGAUCCUGCCAGUAGUCAUAUGCUUGUCUCAAAGAUUAAGCCAUGCAUGUGUAAGUAAA